AAUAGAUACCCAGGUAGUCCAUGCCGUAAACGUUGGGCACUAGGUGUGGGGCUCAUUCCACGAGUUCCGUGCCGCAGCAAACGCAUUAAGUGCCCCGCCUGGGGAGUACGGCCGCAAGGCUAAAACUCAAAGGAAUUGACGGGGGCCCGCACAAGCGGCGGAGCAUGCGGAUUAAUUCGAUGCAACGCGAAGAACCUUACCAAGGCUUGACAUGCACGGGAAGCCACCAGAGAUGGUGGUCUCUUUGGACACUCGUGCACAGGUGGUGCAUGGUUGUCGUCAGCUCGUGUCGUGAGAUGUUGGGUUAAGUCCCGCAACGAGCGCAACCCUCGUCCCAUGUUGCCAGCGGGUUAUGCCGGGGACUCAUGGGAGACUGCCGGGGGUCAACUCGGAGGAAGGUGGGGAUGACGUCAAAUCAUCAUGCCCCUUAUGUCUUGGGCUUCACGCAUGCUACAAUGGCCGGUACAAAGGGCUGCGAUGCCGUAAGGUGGAGCGAAUCCCAAAAAGCCGGUCUCAGUUCGAGUU
rnacentral:rRNA from 1 species